CAAGCUGAACCACUAGCGUCUGAACCCUACACAUCUGAAGCCGGGAUGAAAUUCGGGGGUUCUAUUCCCCCUUCUCCUUUUAAUUGUCGUGGUGGUGUCUUUCGACCCUAGCUGAGAAUAUGUGGUCGAUAUUAGAAUCACCUGGGGAGAUUUUACAAAGCAUCUAGCUUGGGUUUCUUUGGAGGGCUGACAAAAAGUGGAUAACUCUGUUGGAAGAAGACCGUCCAAUUUCCUGCCCCCACCGUUUUAGACAAGAGAGUUAAAAACUCAGAUAUUAGCCAGGCGCAGUGGCUCACUCCUGUAAUGCCAACACUUUGGGAGGCUGAGGCGGCUGGAUCACUUGAGGUAUAAGGAAGCUGAGCAGACAACAAUCUACACAGAACCUCUCUUUAUGUUGGACAAUUUGCUUUGAAAAACGAAUAUUUAUAUUUCCACGUAAAGUUUUCAAGAAUUUUUGCUUCAUUUUAACUGCUCCACCAUGAUUAUGUAAUAUACACUCAAAUAUACACAUACACGCACAGAUGACACUUCCACGUUUCAUCACUACAGUUGUGAAUACACACAAUUUAUCAUUCGACUUUCAGAAAGGAGAACUGCAAUGAUACCAGAAUGCUUUGUUCACAACCCUGGGAUCCUCAUCAACCCGGUUAUCUGUAUUUAUCAAGCAAAUACAUUUUAUCAAGCAAAUACAAAAGCCAUAGCAUUUAUCAAGCAAAUCCAGACACUUUUAAGACAGAAAGGAGGAGUUAAUCAGACAAAACAG